rnacentral:rRNA from 1 species
GAACGGGUGAGUAACACGUGGGCAAUCUGCCCUUCACUCUGGGACAAGCCCUGGAAACGGGGUCUAAUACCGGAUACCACUGCGGGAGGCAUCUCCUGCGGUUGAAAGCUCCGGCGGUGAAGGAUGAGCCCGCGGCCUAUCAGCUUGUUGGUGGGGUAAUGGCCCACCAAGGCGACGACGGGUAGCCGGCCUGAGAGGGCGACCGGCCACACUGGGACUGAGACACGGCCCAGACUCCUACGGGAGGCAGCAGUGGGGAAUAUUGCACAAUGGGCGAAAGCCUGAUGCAGCGACGCCGCGUGAGGGAUGACGGCCUUCGGGUUGUAAACCUCUUUCAGCAGGGAAGAAGCGAAAGUGACGGUACCUGCAGAAGAAGCGCCGGCUAACUACGUGCCAGCAGCCGCGGUAAUACGUAGGGCGCAAGCGUUGUCCGGAAUUAUUGGGCGUAAAGAGCUCGUAGGCGGCUUGUCACGUCGGAUGUGAAAGCCCGAGGCUUAACCUCGGGUCUGCAUUCGAUACGGGCUAGCUAGAGUGUGGUAGGGGAGAUCGGAAUUCCUGGUGUAGCGGUGAAAUGCGCAGAUAUCAGGAGGAACACCGGUGGCGAAGGCGGAUCUCUGGGCCAUUACUGACGCUGAGGAGCGAAAGCGUGGGGAGCGAACA